rnacentral:rRNA from 1 species
AAGGGCACCACAAGAACGCGUGGAGCAUGUGGCUUAAUUUGACUCAACGCGGGAAAUCUUACCGGGUCCGGACACACUGAGGAUUGACAGGCAAUCUUGCGAUUUGCUGAGCCUUUCGGCCUUAUGGCCUCUCUUGCUGUUAACCAGGCGGGGGUUGCUUUAGCCGGCUGGCCGAGCUGUCGCAUCUAAAUAUGCUAGUCCUUUCAUGAUUAUGUGAUAGGUGGUGCAUGGCCGUUCUUAGUUCGUGGAGUGAUCUGUCUGCUUAAUUGCGUUUCGCACUGGACUUGAUAAUCAAGUGUGCUAUUCUUCUUGUGCCUCGUACACGGCCUGCGCGUUAUAAAGUUGGUGUGUGUACCCCGGCUGCUUGGGUGGGUUGGCUGUGCUAUCGUGCGUGUGCCUGGCUGGUGCCUUCGGGUGGCCGCAGGUUGCGCGUGCGUGUGCGCGGCCUCUCGCUCGCGGUGGUUUGGUGUGUAUCGCGCCUUCGAGUGCUUGGCCAGUGCUUGGUGCGUUUUGGAAGGGUAUGUGCACAUUGGGUCCUGAAAGCAACGAACGUGACCGCAUCCUCUUGUUGCCUUUUAUCUGAACCAGCUUUUCGCCGCCUUUGGUGUCCGUCGGCGCGCGCGUUUCGCUUCCUCACGGUCGCGGCUCGUGUGAGUCGUGCGGCGCCAUGUUAUAGGUGGUGGUCUGCGCGUUCUAACAAAAGAGGCUCUAUUCUCCUUACCAGGGGGAAAUAAAACUAGAGGGACCGCUGCGACUUUUUCAAACCAGAGGAAGGUUGCGGCAAUAACAGGUCUGUGAUGCCCUUAGAUGUUCCGGGCUGCACACGUGCUACAAUGAUUAUUGCAGUGAGCAUCUCAUUUCCAAAACGCCGUUAAUCCAUUCGGGUCGGUGGCUUUACCGCCGCUGGACUGAGUAGAUUCGGCUCAGCCUGCUUCGAGAGUUAGCAGGUAAUCAAUUGGAAGUAAUGAUUUCCCCCAAUUUCUAGAUUCUAAAUUUAGAUCUUACGAGCACACAAUAUGCUGCUCCCUUCCAGGUGUGCUUCCGAUAUACCGUGUUGCGCGCCGUUGUAGGGAUGUCUCCUCUUUUGGAGAUUUACAGCAUGUGCUUUUUGUCAAUUCAUGGUGGGGACAGACCAUUGUUAAUUGUUGGUCUCGGUCUUAACUAGGAAUGCCUUGUACGGGUCUUUGGUUCAACAAACCACCCGGAAUACGUCCCUGCCCUUUGUACACACCGCCCGUC